CUUAGGCGUGUGACUGCGUACCUUUUGUAUAAUGGGUCAGCGACUUAUAUUCUGUAGCAAGGUUAACCGAAUAGGGGAGCCGAAGGGAAACCGAGUCUUAACUGGGCGUUAAGUUGCAGGGUAUAGACCCGAAACCCGGUGAUCUAGCCAUGGGCAGGUUGAAGGUUGGGUAACACUAACUGGAGGACCGAACCGACUAAUGUUGAAAAAUUAGCGGAUGACUUGUGGCUGGGGGUGAAAGGCCAAUCAAACCGGGAGAUAGCUGGUUCUCCCCGAAAGCUAUUUAGGUAGCGCCUCGUGAAUUCAUCUCCGGGGGUAGAGCACUGUUUCGGCAAGGGGGUCAUCCCGACUUACCAACCCGAUGCAAACUGCGAAUACCGGAGAAUGUUAUCACGGGAGACACACGGCGGGUGCUAACGUCCGUCGUGAAGAGGGAAACAACCCAGACCGCCAGCUAAGGUCCCAAAGUCAUGGUUAAGUGGGAAACGAUGUGGGAAGGCCCAGACAGCCAGGAUGUUGGCUUAGAAGCAGCCAUCAUUUAAAGAAAGCGUAAUAGCUCACUGGUCGAGUCGGCCUGCGCGGAAGAUGUAACGGGGCUAAACCAUGCACCGAAGCUGCGGCAGCGACGCUGAUGCGUUGUUGGGUAGGGGAGCGUUCUGUAAGCCUGCGAAGGUGUGCUGUGAGGCAUGCUGGAGGUAUCAGAAGUGCGAAUGCUGACAUAAGUAACGAUAAAGCGGGUGAAAAGCCCGCUCGCCGGAAGACCAAGGGUUCCUGUCCAACGUUAAUCGGGGCAGGGUGAGUCGACCCCUAAGGCGAGGCCGAAAGGCGUAGUCGAUGGGAAACAGGUUAAUAUUCCUGUACUUGGUGUUACUGCGAAGGGGGGACGGAGAAGGCUAUGUUGGCCGGGCGACGGUUGUCCCGGUUUAAGCGUGUAGGCUGGUUUUCCAGGCAAAUCCGGAAAAUCAAGGCUGAGGCGUGAUGACGAGGCACUGCGGUGCUGAAGCAACAAAUGCCCUGCUUCCAGGAAAAGCCUCUAAGCAUCAGGUAACAUCAAAUCGUACCCCAAACCGACACAGGUGGUCAGGUAGAGAAUACCAAGGCGCUUGAGAGAACUCGGGUGAAGGAACUAGGCAAAAUGGUGCCGUAACUUCGGGAGAAGGCACGCUGAUAUGUAGGUGAAGUCCCUCGCGGAUGGAGCUGAAAUCAGUCGAAGAUACCAGCUGGCUGCAACUGUUUAUUAAAAACACAGCACUGUGCAAACACGAAAGUGGACGUAUACGGUGUGACGCCUGCCCGGUGCCGGAAGGUUAAUUGAUGGGGUUAGCGCAAGCGAAGCUCUUGAUCGAAGCCCCGGUAAACGGCGGCCGUAACUAUAACGGUCCUAAGGUAGCGAAAUUCCUUGUCGGGUAAGUUCCGACCUGCACGAAUGGCGUAAUGAUGGCCAGGCUGUCUCCACCCGAGACUCAGUGAAAUUGAACUCGCUGUGAAGAUGCAGUGUACCCGCGGCAAGACGGAAAGACCCCGUGAACCUUUACUAUAGCUUGACACUGAACAUUGAGCCUUGAUGUGUAGGAUAGGUGGGAGGCUUUGAAGUGUGGACGCCAGUCUGCAUGGAGCCGACCUUGAAAUACCACCCUUUAAUGUUUGAUGUUCUAACGUUGACCCGUAAUCCGGGUUGCGGACAGUGUCUGGUGGGUAGUUUGACUGGGGCGGUCUCCUCCUAAAGAGUAACGGAGGAGCACGAAGGUUGGCUAAUCCUGGUCGGACAUCAGGAGGUUAGUGCAAUGGCAUAAGCCAGCUUGACUGCGAGCGUGACGGCGCGAGCAGGUGCGAAAGCAGGUCAUAGUGAUCCGGUGGUUCUGAAUGGAAGGGCCAUCGCUCAACGGAUAAAAGGUACUCCGGGGAUAACAGGCUGAUACCGCCCAAGAGUUCAUAUCGACGGCGGUGUUUGGCACCUCGAUGUCGGCUCAUCACAUCCUGGGGCUGAAGUAGGUCCCAAGGGUAUGGCUGUUCGCCAUUUAAAGUGGUACGCGAGCUGGGUUUAGAACGUCGUGAGACAGUUCGGUCCCUAUCUGCCGUGGGCGCUGGAGAACUGAGGGGGGCUGCUCCUAGUACGAGAGGACCGGAGUGGACGCAUCACUGGUGUUCGGGUUGUCAUGCCAAU
rnacentral:rRNA from 1 species